rnacentral:tRNA from 2 species
GCCCUGGUGGUGAAAUUGGUAGACACGCCGGACUUAAAAUCCUGUGGGCCGCAAGGCCCGUGCCGGUUCAACUCCGGCCCAGGGCA